CAUAUGUUUAUAUUUGAUUUAGUUGAAAUUAAAGUUUUAUCUUUGCUUGGAAAUAGGAUUGAAUUUAGGAUUACAUGUGAGCUUCAGCUUGAGGGGAGUUUUUGUCUAAAGGACAGGAGUUAGAGGAUUUAUUCGCAGUAGUUAAUAUUAAAUAUUAGGGGGACUUAGAUUUAGUUAUGAUUUAUUGGUGUUAACAUAAUUUGUGCCAGCAGUUGCGGUUAUACAAGUAACACUAUUUUAUUUUUUUGGUUCUAAUUAGGCAGUAAUUAUUGGCUGGGGAGAUGUUUUUAUGAGGUGAAAUCUUAAUAGCUUUCAAGGUUGAUUUGUUUUGCUGAGGUUGGUAAAUUUUGGUUUUAAACUAGGAUUAGAUACCCUAUUAUUCAGAAUGUGAAUUCUGUGCUAGAAUAUUAAUAGUUAUGAUCUUUAAAAUCAAAGGUUUUGGCGGUAUUUUAGUCUAUUCAGAGGAACCUGUUCUGUUAUCGAUGGUCCACGAUUAGUAUUACUUUUACUUUAAGUUUGUAUAUCGUCGUUGUUUGAAUUUCCUAGUAGGGCUUGAAUGUUCAGAAUAAAUGAUUGUUUGGGAAAUCAGAUCAAGAUGCAGCGUAUGUAAGAGGAGAAAUGGGUUACAUUAAAUUUAUUUUUAGGACUGUAUUAUUAAGUAAUAUGAGAAUUUGGAUUUGAGGGUAAAUUUCUAUAUAUUCGGAAAUUGAUUAAGCUCUAGAGUAUGCACAUAUCGCCCGUCACUUUCACUCUAAGGUGGGAUAAGUCGUAACAAAGUGGGCCUACUGGAAGGUGGGCCUGGGAUGU
rnacentral:ncRNA from 1 species